UACGAAGGGGGCUAGCGUUGCUCGGAAUUACUGGGCGUAAAGCGUGCGCAGGCGGUUAUGUAAGACAGAUGUGAAAUGCCCGGGCUUAACCUGGGAACUGCAUUUGUGACUGCAUGGCUAGAGUUUGGCAGAGGGGGGUAGAAUUCCACGUGUAGCAGUGAAAUGCGUAGAUAUGUGGAGGAACACCGAUGGCGAAGGCAGCCCCCUGGGUCAAGACUGACGCUCAUGCACGAAAGCGUGGGGAGCAAACAGG
rnacentral:rRNA from 1 species